GAUGAAGAACGCAGCGAAAUGCGAUAAGUAAUGUGAAUUGCAGAAUUCAGUGAAUCAUCGAAUCUUUGAACGCACCUUGCGCUCCUUGGUAUUCCGAGGAGCAUGCCUGUUCGAGCGUCAUUUAAACCUUCAAGCUAAGCUUGGUGUUGGGUGACUGUCCGCUUCACGGCGGACUCGCCUCAAAAUUAUUGGCGGCCGGUACAUUGGCUUCGAGCGCAGCAGAAACGCGAACUCGGGCCCGUCGUAUUGGCUCCCAGAAGCUAUCUUCACAAUUUUGACCUCGGAUCAGGUAGGGAUACCCGCUGAACUUAAGCAUAUCAAUAAGCGGAGGA
rnacentral:misc_RNA from 1 species